GAAAGCGGCGAAAGGGAUAGUAACACGUAGAUCACGUACCCUCGGGUCUGGGAUAGCGUCGGGAAACUGACGGUAAUACCGGAUAACGUCUCCGGACCAAAGAUUUAUUGCCCGAGGAGCGGUCUGCGUCCUAUUAGCUAGUUGGUGGGGUAAUGGCCUACCAAGGCGAAGAUGGGUAGCGGGUGUGAGAGCAUGACCCGCAUCACUGGGACUGAGAUACUGCCCAGACACCUACGGGUGGCUGCAGUCGAGAAUCUUCCGCAAUGGACGAAAGUCUGACGGAGCGACGCCGCGUGCGGGACGAAGGCCUUCGGGUUGUAAACCGCUGUCGUAGGGGAGCAAAUUUUGAGCGAUCCUAGGAGGAAGCACCGGCUAAACUCGUGCCAGCAGCCGCGGUAAUACGAGUGGUGCAAACGUUAUUCGGAAUCACUGGGCUUAAAGGGUGCGUAGGCUGCGAUGAAGGUCUGAUGUGAAAUACCACGGCUCAACCGUGGAACGGCAUUGGAAACCACAUUGCUGGAGUAAGACAGAGGUGAGCGGAACAGAUGGUGGAGCGGUGAAAUGCGUUGAUAUUAUCUGGAACACCGGUGGCGAAAGCGGCUCACUGGGUCUUUACUGACGCUGAGGCACGAAAGCCAGGGGAGCAAACGGGAUUAGAUACCCCGGUAGUCCUGGCUGUAAACGAUGAGUACUAGUCUGAGGGGCUCCCCACACCCUCUCGGACGUAGCGAAAGUGUUAGUACUCGCUGGGGGAGUUAUGUCGCA
rnacentral:rRNA from 1 species